GCCCGGCUAGCUCAAUCGGUAGAGCGUGAGACUCUUACACAGGUGUAUCACCCAUCUCAAGGUUGUGGGUUCGACCCCCACGUCGGGCU